rnacentral:rRNA from 1 species
GGUAGAUGGAGGGUACCGGUCGCGGGGGAGGAUGGCGGCCGACGGUGGCUGCUGCCUAGGUGCUGGGAGUGGUGGCCUAGGCGGUAGCAGACCUAGGUGUACUGGCGCAGGGUUGGAAGCUGCCCCGGGACAGCUACGAGAAUGGCUGGUACCUGGACACGGAGGUGGAGGGGGCCACGCCGGUGUUGGUGGCCUAGGUCGGCGGUGGCCGGGGGUUACGCUGGAGUGGGCGGGCUAGGCCGGCGGUGGCGGGGGGAUGCUGGUGAUGGCCUCGAUGAUACGCGCUGUAAACCAACGGGCGUUAGCGCCUAGGGACGGCAGCGUGGCCGCCUACUGAGUCCAUUAAAGAGGAAGAAAGGGGAAGAGGAGCGGGCAGUGAGGGGAUAGACAACAAGGUAGCUUAUUAAGGGUUGCGGAGGAGAUAAAACAUACAGACCGUUCUUCCACUUUUAACGUAAUCACGUCGGGUGAGGCAGACAACAAAAAAACCCGAGUUUACGUCCAGUGAUGCAGGUGUAGCAACCACGAAGCUCCCAGCUGGACGUCAAUCGGGGAUGGGAGGCACAGGAUCGCCGGUGGUGUACGCCCGCUGACGUGGGUAGCAGUCGUGCUCUUCCCCAGGAGGCUGCUCACGCGCACGUCAUGGGAAAUCCCCACUCCGUGAACGAAAAACCGACAGCUGUGGAGGUAGUGGGUCAAAACCGACAGCUACCUCUGGUAGCCACUUCAAACGGUGGAGGGGCGGAAGAUGACGGCGCGACUCACCAGUACGUCUAGGACGUCCCGAGGUCGGGCCGCACGUGUCGAGCACGCGUGUGUACUAGGCCAAGUCACGAUCCCGUGAGCGUCAGAAAAAACGCACGUCGACGUCAGGCAAACCUGAAGCACACAUCACUUCAAGCCCGCUCGGUACUACUGUCUUUUCCUUCCUUUAAUUCACCCAGCCUUUCCCUUGUCUUAAUUUUGGGGUGAACGGCUCCUCUGUUGUUAGGCGUUCGUAGUACGCGUACGUCAAGGAAAACAUAUACGAAUGUUACGCCACACACAUACACACGACAUGUGGGGGUAGCGAAUAAAACACACCGUCGAGUAAUCUGG